AUUGAACGCUGGCGGCAGGCCUAACACAUGCAAGUCGAGCGAGCGGCGGACGGGUGAGAAAUGUAUGGGGCCUUGCCUGAUAGAGGGGGUUAACUAUUGGAAACGGUGGUAAUACCCGAUAAGUAUCGGAUGAACCUAUAUGGGAUUAGCUAGUAGGUGGGGUAAAGGUUCACUUAGGCGACGAUCUCUAGCUGGUCUGAGGGGAUGAUCAGCCACACUGGGACUGAGACACGGCCAAGACUCCUACGGGAGGCAGCAGUGGGGAAUAUUGCACAAUGGGCGCAAGCCUGAUGCAGCCAUGCCGCGUGUAUGAAGAAGGCCUUAGGGUUGUAAAGUACUUUCAGCGGGGAGGCGUUACCCGCAGAAGAAGCACCGGCUAACUCCGUGCCAGCAGCCGCGGUAAUUC
rnacentral:rRNA from 1 species